AAGAUCAUACUUCACAGGAUCAUUUCUGUAGUAUAUCUUCACAUCCUCUCUACUCAAUUGUGGAGUCGAUACAGCCACGAUGACGAGGUAUAAUCCUCUUCUCUGAGCGUGAGGAAGAUUGAGGUCUUGACGAUUGUCGAGAACUCAAUCAUCGAUGAUCGUUCACCUUCCAGGCAAUAAGUCGGAUGGUAUGAGAAGUGGAUAUUCCGAGUGGU